rnacentral:rRNA from 1 species
GACAGAGGGUGCAAACGUUGCUCGGAAUUACUGGGCGUAAAGGGCGUGUAGGCGGGAAGGAAAGUCAGAUGUGAAAUCCCUGGGCUCAACCCAGGAACUGCAUUUGAAACUCCCUUUCUUGAGUACCGGAGAGGAAGGUGGAAUACCUGGUGUAGAGGUGAAAUUCGUAGAUAUCAGGUGGAACACCAGUGGCGAAGGCGGCCUUCUGGACGGUAACUGACGCUGAGACGCGAAAGCGUGGGGAGCAAACAGG